CUUAAUGAAGCGUUAUGUUUUUAUUACCUUAGAUUGAGCUAUUUAUAUCUACAUACACCGCGGGUCCCCUUACAUGGAAGUCGCCACCAUGUUUCAACAGUAGCAGAUCGCGA